GUUGGCCCCACAGUAAGAGCAGAAUGGACCGGCACACAAAAUUCAUUGGAUAUACUUGUAACAGCAGCACAAGUCAGAGAAUUUACAAGACCAGUUAACAACAGCAGAAAAUGCCUUUCAUCAACAGAGCAUACUUAAUCAUCAUCUGCAACUCCAGUUAUCAAUGGAAGCCCAAGAUUAACCCCACCAACAGGCCACCCCUUUUGACAUUAACAGUACUCUACAGCAAGAGAAGAAAAAAAAACAGGGUUGUUUUUAUAUUAUAUCAAUUUGAGACAUGCCACAUUUUGUACUUUGUUAGAGUUUUUUUUAUACAUCUGAGCAAAUUCCCCAGUGUGUAAAAAAAGGAGGGACAUAACAAAUAUGACAAAACAAUCGCAGUUGUUAUUAACACUGAUGAGGCUGAGACAUAAUUUUGAAAUCAAAGACUUGGCAUCAAGAUUUUGUAUUUCAACACAGUGUAUCAGUGAUAUAUUCUGUGCCUGAAUUGACCUUAUGUUGUGUUUCAAUAUAGUCCUAUAGGAAUGAUAUUAACAACAUGACAACUGAAUAAAAGCUCAAUUCCCAAAAACCAUCGCUAUCAUUGAUUGUGCAGAAAGGAAAUCACAGAAACAAUCUUCUUUAAAACUACAGUUACAAAUUAUACAUUCUGACUACAAAUCAGCUACAACCUAAAGGGGACUUGUGGAUUGUGAUCCUUUAGGGGACACAAUGGAAACUAGCUGUAUGCUAAUUUGUGUUAUCUUGGAUAAAUAAAGGCUAUUAUUAUUAUCA